AUUUCGGAGAGUUUGAUCCUGGCUCAGAGUGAACGCUGGCGGCGUGGAUUAGGCAUGCAAGUCGAGCGAUACUUUUUUCCUAAGUUUGUGAAGCCGUAAGGCCGAACUUUCAAGGGAAAAAAGAUAUAGCGGCAGAUUGGUGAGUAAUACGCGAGUAAUUUACCUUUAAGCCGGGGAUAGCCUAGCGAAAGUUAGGGUAAUACCCGAUGUGUUCAGGGUGGCAUAAGCUGUCCUGUGUAAAGUCGGCCUUUAAAAAGUUGAUGCUUAGAGAUGAGCUUGCGUCCUAUCAGCUAGUUGGUGAGGUAACGGCUCACCAAGGCUUAUGACGGGUAGCUGGCCUGAGAGGGUGGUCAGCCACACGGGGACUGAGACACUGCCCCGACUCCUACGGGAGGCUGCAGUCGAGGAUCUUUAGCAAUGGGCGAAAGCCUGACUAUGCGACGCCGCGUGAGGGAUGAAGGUUU
rnacentral:rRNA from 1 species